rnacentral:rRNA from 1 species
GACGAACGCUGGCGGCGUGCCUAAUACAUGCAAGUCGAACGAGAGCAACCGGUGCUUGCCCUGGUCAAUCUAGUGGCGAACGGGUGAGCAACACGUGGGUAACCUGCCCAUCAGAGGGGGAUAACAUCCGGAAACGGAUGCUAAAACCGCAUAGGUCUUCGAACCGCAUGGUUUGAAGAGGAAAAGAGGCGCAAGCUUCUGCUGAUGGAUGGACCCGCGGUGCAUUAGCUAGUUGGUGAGGUAACGGCUCACCAAGGCCGUGAUGCAUAGCCGACCUGAGAGGGUGAUCGGCCACAUUGGGACUGAGACACGGCCCAAACUCCUACGGGAGGCAGCAGUAGGGAAUCUUCCGCAAUGGACGCAAGUCUGACGGAGCAACGCCGCGUGAGUGAAGAAGGUUUUCGGAUCGUAAAACUCUGUUGUUAGAGAAGAACAAGUGCUAGAGUAACUGUUAGCGCCUUGACGGUAUCUAACCAGAAAGCCACGGCUAACUACGUG